rnacentral:rRNA from 1 species
UACGAAGGGGGCUAGCGUUGCUCGGAAUCACUGGGCGUAAAGCGCACGUAGGCGGAUCUUUAAGUCAGGGGUGAAAUCCUGGAGCUCAACUCCAGAACUGCCUUUGAUACUGGGGAUCUCGAGUCCGGGAGAGGUGAGUGGAACUGCGAGUGUAGAGGUGAAAUUCGUAGAUAUUCGCAAGAACACCAGUGGCGAAGGCGGCUCACUGGCUCGGUACUGACGCUGAGGUGCGAAAGCGUGGGGAGCAAACAGG